rnacentral:rRNA from 1 species
AGUGAACGCUGGCGGCAGGCUUAACACAUGCAAGUCGAACGGCAGCACAGUAAGAGCUUGCUCUUACGGGUGGCGAGUGGCGGACGGGUGAGGAAUACAUCGGAAUCUACUUUUUCGUGGGGGAUAACGUAGGGAAACCUACGCUAAUACCGCAUACGACCUACGGGUGAAAGCAGGGGAUCUUCGGACCUUGCGCGAUUGAAUGCGCCGAUGUCGGACUAGCUAGUUGGCGGGUUAAAGGCCCACCAAGGCGGCGAUCCGUAGCUGGUCAGAGAGGAGGGUCGGCCGCACUGGAGCUGAGACACGGUCCAGACUACUACGAUACGCAGCAGUCGGGAAUAUGAGGCAACGGUGGGGAGUAUUGUCCAGUCGGACCACGUGUGUGACGAAGGCGUUGCGGUUGUAAAGACCGUUUGUUGGGUAUAAAACGCAUCCGGCUGUGACCCCGCUGGAGUGACGGUACCCGGAGAAUAAGCACCGGCUAACUACGUG